rnacentral:rRNA from 1 species
AUUGAACGCUGGCGGCGUGCUUAACACAUGCAAGUCGUGCGGUAACAGGCGUAGCAAUACGUGCUGACGAGCGGCGAACGGGUGCGUAAUACAUGGGAAUCUGCCCUUUAGUGGGGAAUAACCCGGCGAAAGCCGGGCUAAUGCCGCAUAAGAUCUUCGGAUGAAAGCGGGGGAUCGUAAGACCUCGCGCUGAUGGAUGAGCCCAUGCCGGAUUAGCAGUUGGUGAGGUAACGGCUCACCAAGGCGACGAUCCGUAGCUGGUCUGAGAGGACGGCCAGCCACACUGGGACUGAGACACGGCCCAGACUCCUACGGGAGGCAGCAGUGGGGAAUAUUGGACAAUGGGCGAAAGCCUGAUCCAGCGACGCCGCGUGUGUGAAGAAGGCCUGCGGGUUGUAAAGCAC